rnacentral:lncRNA from 1 species
CCCAAAACCGCGUCACCACUCUCUGUAACUCAAUUUGCAAACCUCAAAGUUAGCGUUUCGGAGCAACACAUACACAGUCAGAGGUUCAGAGAACACACCUUGUCGGAAACUACGCUUUUACCCUCUCGCGGUGUCGGAGAGGAACAUGAUCGUAGGGAGAACAACAACAUCAUCGUCAGCAGCAACAACAACAACAUGGUGAGAUGUUUCAGCUUAGGAUCCGUUCUCAUUCUGGCGGCGCUCGCGGCCUCCAUGGUGGUGCUGCCGCUCAUGCUGCCGCCGCUUCCGCCGCCGCCUCUCGUCCUUCUCUUCUUCCCCGUCGGGAUCAUGGCGGCGCUCAUGCUUCUCGCCUUCUCGCCCUCCGACGGCAACGGCAUCGUUUACGCCACGUAGGAUCCACCAGUGCCACAUUUUGGUGGUUCUGGAAUGUGCUGAUGGGAUCGCUUCGUUUCGGAGUUUCUAAUAGUUUUUUUUUUCUUUAAUUUUUUUUUAAGUUACUGUUUAUAUGAAAAGGAAUUAAUUGUAAAAGAAAAAAAAGGAAAAAAGGAAAAAGAAGAAGGAAGGAUUCAUUGUAUUGCGGCAUAGACACGGAAAUUUCAUUUUUGUUUCGUUCAUUAUAGUUAUUAUUAUUAAUUGAAACAUACUUGUCCAUCAUCCCCACCCACAUUCUUAUGGUAAUAUAAAACGGAUAAUAUAAUUAAAAAUUUAAUUAUUAUAUCCUUAUUACGUUAAAAUAAAUGCUUACCAGAUAAAAUAAUAAAGUGAGACAGG